AUAGAAAUCAUGAUUUGCAAAAGAAUAUGAUUCGAAAAAGAAAAGCUAAUGGUGGCUAAGCCACCUAAUUAGGGUGUGAUUACCUUCUCCAGAUGCAGCCUCCCAUCUCUUCUCCCUGUCCUCUAAUAAUAAAUGUUAUUUGUAGGAACUUAGAUGAAAGGAAUAAUCACCUGAUACGAUAUGUUAGUAUAGAGAGGAUUGUGAUAAGUGAAGAUGAAUAUGCUGCUUUGUUGCACUACACAAUUGCUUUACAAGUAAAUGUAUUCGAAA
rnacentral:misc_RNA from 1 species